rnacentral:rRNA from 1 species
UACGAAGGUCCCAAGCGUUAUCCGGAUUUAUUGGGUUUAAAGGGUGCGUAGGCGGGCUAUUAAGUCAGUGGUGAAAGCCCCCAGCUUAACUUGGGAACUGCCAUUGAUACUGAUGGUCUUGAGUACAUUUGAGGUGGGCGGAAUGGUGUCAUGUAGCGGUGAAAUGCUUAGAUAUGACACAGAACACCGAUUGCGAAGGCAGCUCACUAAACUGUAAACUGACGCUGAGGCACGAAAGCGUGGGGAGCAAACAGG